rnacentral:rRNA from 1 species
GACGAACGCUGGCGGCGUGCCUAAUACAUGCAAGUCGAACGCAGUGGGGACGGGUGAGUAACACGUGGGUAACCUCCCAUCAGAGGGGAUAACACUUGGAAACAGGUGCUAAACCGAUAUUGAUUGAUGGACCCGCGGUGCAUUAGCUAGUUGGUGAGGUAACGGCUCACCAAGGCCACGAUGCAUAGCGGACCUGAGAGGGUGAUCAGCAAAACUGGGACUGAGACACGGCCCAGACUCCUACGGGAGGAAGCAGUAGGGAAUCUUCGGCAAUGGGCGAAAGGCUGAUCGAGCAACGCCGCGUGAGUGAAGAAGGUUUGCGGAGGGGAAAACUCUGUUAUUAGAGAAGCGGUAUCUAACCAGAAAGCAACGGCUAACUACGUGCCAGCCGCCGCGGUAAUAC